UUGAGUCUCCUGAAGGAACGUUAAAGACGAUGACGUUGAUAGGCCGGGUGUGUAAGCGCAGCGAUGCGUUGAGCUAACCGGUACUAAUGAACCGUGAGGCUUAACCUUACAACGCCGAAGGUGUUU
rnacentral:rRNA from 2 species